rnacentral:rRNA from 1 species
UACCUUGUUACGACUUAACACCAGUUACCGAUUUUACCCUAGGCGACUCCUUGCGGUUAUCGACUUUAGGUACCCUCAGCUUCCAUUGUUUGACGGGCGGUGUGUACAAGGCCCGGGAACGUAUUCACCGUAUCANNGCUGAUAUACGAUUACUAGCGAAUCCAGCUUCAUGAGGUCGAGUUGCAGACCUCAAUCCGAACUGAGACGAGUUUUAGAGAUUAGCAUCAUGUUACCAUGUAGCAACCCAUUGUACUCGCCAUUGUAGCACGUGUGUAGCCCUGGACGUAAGGGCCGUGCUGACUUGACGUCAUCCCCACCUUCCUCACCGCUUGCGCGGGCAGUUUCACUAGAGUCCCCGACAUUACUCGCUGGCAACUAAUGAUAGGGGUUGCGCUCGUUGCGGGACUUACCCACACCUACGGCACGAGCUGCACAGCAUGCAGCACCUAGUUCGGGUAUUGCUGAAA